CCUACGGGAGGCAGCAGUAGGGAAUCUUCCACAAUGGGCGAAAGCCUGAUGGAGCAACGCCGCGUGGGUGAAGAAGGUCUUCGGAUCGUAAAACCCUGUUGUUAGAGAAGAAAGUGCGUGAGAGUAACUGUUCACGUUUCGACGGUAUCUAACCAGAAAGCCACGGCUAACUACGUGCCAGCAGCCGCGGUAAUACGUAGGUGGCAAGCGUUAUCCGGAGUUAUUGGGCGUAAAGGGAACGCAGGCGGUCUUUUAAGUCUGAUGUGAAAGCCUUCGGCUUAACCGGAGUAGUGCAUUGGAAACUGGGAGACUGGAGUGCAGAAGAGGAGAGUGGAACUCCAUGUGUAGCGGUGAAAUGCGUAGAUAUAUGGAAGAACACCAGUGGCGAAAGCGGCUCUCUGGUCUGUAACUGACGCUGAGGUUCGAAAGCGUGGGUAGCAAACAGGAUUAGAUACCCCAGUAGUC
rnacentral:rRNA from 1 species